AACGAACGCUGGCGGCGUGCUUAACACAUGCAAGUCGAACGGAAAGGCCCUGGUUUCGUAGGGUGCUAGAGUGGAGAAAGGGUGAGUAACCCGUGAGUGAGCUGCCGUUGACCUUGGGAAAACUCCAGGAAAACGGGACGAAUCCCGGAUAGGAGAGCCUGCUGCAUGGUGGGGGUUGGCAAGUCGCGGCGGUUGGGGAUGGAUUGGCGGCUUAUCAGCUUGUUGGUGGGGUAGUGGCUUACCAAGGCUUUGACGGGUAGCCGGACUGAGAGGGUGACCGGCCACAUUGGGACGGAGAUGCGGCCCAGACUCCUACGGUAGGCAGCAGUGCGGAAGAUUGCAUAAGGGGCGGAACCCAAAUGCAGCAACGCCGCGCGGCGGAUGACGACCUGCUGUUUGUAUUCCGCUUUCCCCUGUGACGAAGCGUGAGUGACGGUAAUGGGUAAAGAAGCCCCGGCUAACUACGUG
rnacentral:rRNA from 1 species